GAUGAAGAACGUAGCGAAAUGCGAUAAGUAAUGUGAAUUGCAGAAUUCAGUGAAUCAUCGAAUCUUUGAACGCACAUUGCGCCCCUUGGUAUUCCGAGGGGCAUGCCUGUUCGAGCGUCAUUAUAACCCUCAAGCUCAGCUUGGUGUUGGGGCCUGCUGCACUGGCAGCCCUUAAAAUCAGUGGCGGCGCCAUCUGGCUCUAAGCGUAGUAAUUCUUCUCGCUAUGGAGUCCUGGGGAUGCUUGCCAUCAACCCCCAAUUUUUCUAUGGUUGACCUCGGAUCAGGUAGGGAUACCCGCUGAACUUAAGCAUAUCAAUAAGCGGAGGA
rnacentral:misc_RNA from 1 species